UUCACCGGCCGUUGUCGAGAUGAAGCCCGCCGCGCAGCCGGUCACCGGCGUCCCCGUCGGCGGCGCCCCCGCCCCAGCCGCCUGGUCCUCCGGCCUCUUCGACUGCUUCGACGACUGCGGCCUCUGUACGCGCAUAUACCCUACCUCUCGUGCCAAUCUUCCUCCAACUCGUCUCCAUGUCUCACAUGCGUGUCUAACACAUGUGACCUAUGAUCCAUGCAGGUUGCCUGACGUGCUGGUGCCCUUGCAUCACGUUUGGCAAGGUGGCGGAGAUCGUGGACAGGGGCUCGACGUCGUGCGGCACCAGCGGGGCGCUCUACGCGCUGCUGGGGUCGCUCACGGGGUGCCACUGGAUCUACUCCUGCACGUACAGGUCCAAGAUGCGCGCCCAGUACGCGCUCCCGGACGAGCCCUGCUGCGACUGCUGCGUCCACUUCUGCUGCGAGACCUGCGGCCUCAUCCAGCAGUACAAGGAGCUCAAGGCCCGUGGCUACGACCCCGACAUUGGCUGGCACCUCAACGUCGAGCGCGGCAACGGCGGCGCCGGUGUUGGCGGCGUCAACCCGCCCGGCAUGCAGGAGAUGGGCCGCUAGAUCGUCAAACUCUGCCGCACGUGUGGGUGGAGGAUCGCUCGAGCAAGUGUUCCAGGUGCUUGGUAAGUUAUUGCAUAGUAGUACGUACUUGUAGCUUUGUUAAGUUCCGAAUGCAUGUGGUGCGGUGGAGGAGUAUGUUGUAUUGGAGUACAUGGUGAUGUGAUAAGUUGCUGUCAGGAGUGGGAGGAGGAGCAAGCGGACAGGAGUAAUGCCACGAUGCAUUUUGUUCAGUGUACUGUAUAUUUGUAUUUAUUCAUCGUAUUGUAUAUUUGUACAAAUAAAAUCGAGCAAACGACGGGAUCACCGUACUUUUACUAGGCCAGAGCAUCUAUAACUGGUCUACUCAAACCCUUUCUAUACGCCCAUGCAGGUGGCCCGAUUAAUGACUGAUCACAAAGUCCCGAUCCAGACGAGCUCAUACCGGCCUUAUAGAUCCGAGCUAACCGGCACCUCCUCGUAUUCAGCCCAAAUCCAAGGCGGAUAUGGGGGGGUGCGAGCGGAUCCACGCGUGUCCGUCACGUUUGAUCCGGGCCAAGUUGGCGCCCCUAUACCCAUCCCAUAUUUGGGCUGGAUAUGGAGGUGCCGGUCAGUCCGGGCGUUUGAGACCCGUUUGAGACGUCCGUCUGAGUCGAAAAAAACAUGACCGGUCAGUGACCGAGCAGCCCGCCCGAGCGUAUGAAGCGGGUUUAAGAGGUCCGGCUUUAGAUGUUCUUAUUACUCCACCUCAUCUCCGGCCAAACUUUAUAUUUAAAGAAAACGAUUACAUCCGCCGUAGUUCGGUAAUUACGCAAUUAUUUCUCUCUCGAGCAGAUAGGAAAAAAAAGAGAACAAAAUUACACAAACACGUACACGGCGAAGUAUUGUUCGGCUGAAAAAAGGUCAAUUGACAGUGUUAUUAGUGGAGUAUAUAGUACCUGUUACCACACGCUGAAGAAAUGAUCAGAUCAGAUCAGACAGAUUACAAGUCUACGGUGUGAGCUUCGCGGCAGCUGGCUGUCGCCUUCAACGACGUACCCUCCUGUAUAGAGUAUAGACGUACGGCUCAUUCGGGUCAAGGGAACGCCGGUUUGACUUGAGGCUAAUUUUCCUUGUGCUUAUCACCAAUCAAACACGGAUGGAUUAAUUAACAUGCUGAACAAUUCGGUACAGUGCAAAAAUUUAAACCCGCCGCCUCGAUCCGAAACCAGUAGACACGAGCUAUAUAUAAGCAUCCCAUUCCCGGCACAGAACAACAACUACCCGGCGACAUCGAUCGAACACAAAGAGCUCAUCACAUCUUUCUAGUUCACCGGCCGUUGUCGAGAUGAAGCCCGCCGCGCAGCCGGUCACCGGCGUCCCCGUCGGCGGCGCCCCCGCCCCAGCCGCCUGGUCCUCCGGCCUCUUCGACUGCUUCGACGACUGCGGCCUCUGUACGCGCAUAUACCCUACCUCUCGUGCCAAUCUUCCUCCAACUCGUCUCCAUGUCUCACAUGCGUGUCUAACACAUGUGACCUAUGAUCCAUGCAGGUUGCCUGACGUGCUGGUGCCCUUGCAUCACGUUUGGCAAGGUGGCGGAGAUCGUGGACAGGGGCUCGACGUCGUGCGGCACCAGCGGGGCGCUCUACGCGCUGCUGGGGUCGCUCACGGGGUGCCACUGGAUCUACUCCUGCACGUACAGGUCCAAGAUGCGCGCCCAGUACGCGCUCCCGGACGAGCCCUGCUGCGACUGCUGCGUCCACUUCUGCUGCGAGACCUGCGGCCUCAUCCAGCAGUACAAGGAGCUCAAGGCCCGUGGCUACGACCCCGACAUUGGCUGGCACCUCAACGUCGAGCGCGGCAACGGCGGCGCCGGUGUUGGCGGCGUCAACCCGCCCGGCAUGCAGGAGAUGGGCCGCUAGAUCGUCAAACUCUGCCGCACGUGUGGGUGGAGGAUCGCUCGAGCAAGUGUUCCAGGUGCUUGGUAAGUUAUUGCAUAGUAGUACGUACUUGUAGCUUUGUUAAGUUCCGAAUGCAUGUGGUGCGGUGGAGGAGUAUGUUGUAUUGGAGUACAUGGUGAUGUGAUAAGUUGCUGUCAGGAGUGGGAGGAGGAGCAAGCGGACAGGAGUAAUGCCACGAUGCAUUUUGUUCAGUGUACUGUAUAUUUGUAUUUAUUCAUCGUAUUGUAUAUUUGUACAAAUAAAAUCGAGCAAACGACGGGAUCACCGUACUUUUACUAGGCCAGAGCAUCUAUAACUGGUCUACUCAAACCCUUUCUAUACGCCCAUGCAGGUGGCCCGAUUAAUGACUGAUCACAAAGUCCCGAUCCAGACGAGCUCAUACCGGCCUUAUAGAUCCGAGCUAACCGGCACCUCCUCGUAUUCAGCCCAAAUCCAAGGCGGAUAUGGGGGGGUGCGAGCGGAUCCACGCGUGUCCGUCACGUUUGAUCCGGGCCAAGUUGGCACACCCAAACCGUCCAUAAAUUUGUCGUCAUCCGCAUCUUGAACCAAACGCUAGCCACUCCACUCCGCCCCCAAGCUCCCUUCCGGCGACCUGCGGCCUUCUCCGACAUGACGGGCAGCGGAUCUAACUCCUUGGUCUCUCGACUAAGACCACGCCCCAAGCGUGCCCGAGGAGGUGGUGGUCGCCUGCAUUGUGCUCUGACCCUCCCGGGAGGAGUCCACCCACAGCGGUUGGACUCAACCGGCGGGAAUCCAUUUCGUCUGCCCUAAUAUCACUUGGAUCUGGUGCGAGGCACGUCGCCGCUGCCUCCCUGGAUGGGGUGUGGUCCGUCUGGCGCCCAACGCCAUGGCGGCAACACAACCCCUUCGUUGGCACGUCUUCGCCAUCACGCCGGGUUCCGAGUCAGAGGCAAGCGCCGACACUUAUGGCUCGUCCACGUCGGAGGCUAAUAUGGCGCGAUGUGCUCGCCAUGCGAGGCAGAGGGCAUGGGAGGCCACAUCACCCUUGCGGCAAAUGUCGGGGAGGAGAAGUCGCACACCAUGACGGCAGAGCCUCUGUGGGUGACCGGCAACCCUCGCGGUGGACCUAUCGGGCUUCGACCACGACGGGUGUAUCAUGGACCUCACAUCGGCCGGCGACAUCCAGUCCAUGGGCUCUGACAAGGAAGAGUAGGGCAUGGGAGGCAGUGGCGCCUCGAAUCCCAUGAGCCGGUCUGUGUCCUAUGUCCUACUCUAGCUCGUCAGAUACCGCACCUUCACUCGUAGGGGCUCAGUCGGCCGUCAAACAUGGGCACAAAUGUGGAACUGAAUGAGCGUCGGCGAAUAUUUAGUUUACGUUUUUUGUUGCAUGUAAUUGUAAUGGAUUUGAGAAUUCAUAAUUGUGGUAUUCGGUUGUGGAAGAAAGAAUUUGAGGUGUGACCUGUUAUUGUCUGCGGACAUUAACUAUAUGCGGCUGUAAGUGCUCUAAGUUCACACUGAAAAUAACAUCACAUGGUCGUCACACUACGCGGAAACGCGUGUUGCCUAGUGUUUGGGCAUAAGCCAAAUGCUAUUUCUUGGGUACUCAGCUUAGCCCAGUGUAAGAGAAGUACUUGUCAAAAAACACAUGACAAUUGCAGGGCCCUCUGAUAGACAAGAGUAAACAGAGUACAACUCCAAAAAAAAAGAGGUAAUAGCACUACAGGUCCCUGAACUUGUCAUGGAGGUGAUAUGGUUUGGUUCUCAAACAUAAAAAAAUGGAUUAUUUCGUCCUUCAACUUGUCAUGGAGGUGCAAGUUUGGUCCUAGGCCAAUCACAGCUCGCCAACUGGAGCCAGCUUGGCUGGGCCGGUCAGCGUCGCGCAUUUUGUGAAUUGCCCCCUUUCUUUAGCCCUUAUCAACCCGCACUCACUAUUAGCAAUCUUAUCUAAAAACAUCUAUUGUAUUAACUAUUAGCAGACUUAUCUAAAAAUAUUUAAUUGUUUAACCAGACCAAUUCUUAUUGUUCAGAUACAUGGGGGCAAUUACAGGAAUUAGUGAUCUUGAUGCUGUCCGUUGGCCAAACUCACAUUGGCGGUCUGUGAAGGUAUAUUUACUGGCUAACACUUACUAUUGUAUCCAGUCAAGUCUGUACAUGAACAUCGCCUGUUGCUUACCCAUGUAUUGUUAGAUGAGACGCAAAUUCCUAUUGAGAUUGCUUGGUAUAACUUCACAAUUUAGCAUGACAGAAAACUUUGUCUAUGAAAAAUGCAGGUUGGCUGGGAUGAAUCAACUGCUGGAGAGAGGCAGCCAAGGGUGUCACUUUGGGAGAUUGAACCCCUGACAACUUUCCCGAUGUACCCUACUCCUUUUCCACUCAGACUGAAGCGACCGCGGCCAACAGGCUUGCCUUCUCUGCAUGGUAUGAUGGACAGCUGGUCUCUAGCAUUCAUAAAUAGUUGUGCUUGAAUAAUUGUGUAGUAUGCUUUCAAUAUGGAGUGUUAUAAAUUAUCUAUCUCUUUCUGUAGGUGGUAAGGAUGAUGACUUGACUUCCUCGCUCAUGUGGCUUCGAGAUAGCGCAAACCCUGGUUUCCAGUCGCUGAAUUUCAGCGAUGCUGGUAUGAAUCCCUGGAUGCAGCCAAGGCUGGAUGCGUCGUUAUUUGGUUUACAGCCUGACAUUUACCAAACGGUGGCUGCGGCUGGGUUUCAGGACCCAACAAAGAUGUCACCUACUAUGUUGCAGUUCCAGCAGCCACAAAACAUGGUUGUUAGAGCUACGCCACUUCUACGAAGUUGGAUUUUGCAGCAAAUGCAACCUCAGUUUCGGCAGCAGUCAUACCUUCAAAACAUCAAUGGGGCCACGAUCCAGGGCCAGCUCAGUCCGAGUUCCUUCAACAGCAGCUCCAACGGUGCCAGUCCUUCAAUGAGAAAAAGCCACAGCUUCUCCAACAGCAAGAAUCAAAUCAGCAGCAAUCGCAUAGAAGGAACUCAAACUGAUCCUGGCCCUGGAUCGUGGCCCCAUUGAUAAGAGCUAAAGACAGGGGGCAAUUUGCAAAAUGCACGACGCUGACUGGCCCAGUCGAGCUGGCUCCACUUAGCGAGUUGUGAUUGGCCCAGGACCAAACUUGCACCUCCAUGACAAGUUCAAGGACGAAAUAAUCCACUUUUUCAAGUUUGAGGACCAAAUCAUCACCUCCAUCACAAGUUCAAGGACCUACAGUGCUAUUACCUCAAAAAAAUAAUGCCUAGGUUUACAAAGAGAACUCAACAUACUCCGCAAAAAAACUUUAGCUUAUACACGAGGCUUGGCAAAGCACCUACCAUGGGGCCAUCCUCGCUGCCCUUGACGGCUCUGUGACGGCGAGCGCUAUAAGAUGAGUGGUGUUUUACGGUAUAAUUCGCCUACAUCCAUUCCUUUAUUUGUUUUAAAGGCAAAAAUGUAAGCCGAGUGCCCAAAAGAAAGCACUCGGCUUACACUCAUGCCCCUUCACCUUCAUCUCUCCCAUUUAUAAGAGGUCCCUUCCGUUACCGGUUUGGCUGUAACCCUAGUCAUCUUGCCGCCUCCAGAUGUCCUGGCUUUAUAUUGAUUAAAAACCCUUCAUCAUAUUUAUCGAAGGUUUUUUCUGCGAUAAUUUUUCAUUGUCACUGUGAUAAUCACCGUCAAUCUUCCACUUCAGGCCGGCCAAGAGCCUUCUGUCAGGAUGGUUACGUUGAAUAAACUCUCGUCGAGCUUAGCAAUAUUAAUUUGUGCAACUGGCCAACUGCAAGAUGUAGAUGCCAUAAUUUAGAAACAGAUUCAAUGAUAUUUAUUUUUUGCGAGAAAGAUUCAAUGAUUGAUCUGCCAGGAAGCAAUACUCUGUGCGUGCGUGCGUACUCCUACGUCGGACUUGAAAGUUUGCACAACAAACAAUUAGAUUUGGGGUUAGCUGAGACGUACGUGAGAGUGAGAGGCUGGCUUAAAGCACAAUUAUAUACGGAGUUGGUACUUAAUCAACAAGUCAAGCCACAUGAACGGGGGAAGAAAACAAGCACGCAAGUAGUUGAAACUAGGCAAAACAAUUGCACCUGCCGUAGUUUGGUAAUUAUUACGCGUGUUAUUUCCCUCUGGAGCAAUAAGAAAAAAUAAGCAAACAAAAUUACACAAAUAUGUAGACAGCGAAGAAUUUUUUUUCAGUUGAAAAAAGUCAAUUAGCCGUGUUAUUAGUGGAGUAUAGUAUAUAGCUUUUUUUUUGAGAACCUAUAGUAUAUAGUACCACACGCGGACGAAAUGAUCUCGCAAAAUAUAUACACUACAAGUCUACGGUGUGAGCUUCGCGGCAGCUUGGCUGUCACAUUCAACGACGUAGACGGUAGACAUGUAUAGAGUAUGUACGCACGGCUAAUUCAGGUCAAGGGAACGCCACUUUGACGUGCAGCUAAUUUUCCUGGUGCUUAUCACCAAGCAAACGCGGAUGGAUUUAAUUAACGUACUGAACUGUUUUGAAUAGUGCAAACAUUCAUACCCACCCCGACCACCCCCCGCCUGAUCACCACCUAUAUAUAAGCACUCCAAGCCAGCCCAUUCCCGGCACCACAGCUAGCGAGCGACAUCAUCAACACACAAAGACCUCAUCACAUCUUUCCAGUUCACCGGCCGUUAUGGAGAUGAAGCCCGCCGCGCAGCCGGUCACCGGCGUCCCCGUCGGCGCGGCGCCCGCCGCCUGGUCCUCCGGCCUCUUCGACUGCUUCGACGACUGCGGCCUCUGCUGCGUGACCUACUGGUGCCCGUGCAUCACGUUCGGCAAGGUGGCGGAGAUCGUGGACAGGGGGUCGACGUCGUGCGGGACGAGCGGCGCGCUCUACGCGCUCCUGUGCUCGCUCACGGGAUGCCAGUGGAUCUAUUCCUGCACCUACCGCUCCAAGAUGCGCGCCCAGUACGCGCUCCCGGACGGGCCCUGCUGCGACUGCUGCGUCCACUUCUGCUGCGAGCCGUGCGCGCUCGUCCAGCAGUACAAGGAGCUCAAGGCCCGCGGCUACGACCCCGAGAUCGGCUGGCACCUCAACAUGGAGCGCCGCGCCGGCGCCGGCGCCGUCAACCCGCCCGGCGUUCAGGGGAUGGGCCGCUAGCUGGCUAGCUGGUCGAACUCAGCUGCUGCUUUACUAUUGCCGUUUGUGUCAUGCGUCGUUUAUGUUUCAUAAAUUACUAUUGCAUAUAUGGUACUAGUGUCCGUAGUAACUUGUCAAAAAAAGUAACCGUGGUAACUUGUGUGAGUACUCCCUCCGGUGCUUUUUACUCUGCACAUUAGAUUUGCCGAAAGUCAAACUUUGCUAAGUUUGACCAAAUUUAUAUUGAAAAUUAUUAGCAUCUAUAAUAUCUAAUAAAUAUAGUAUAUAUAUUUCAAGAUGAAUCUAAUGAUAUUGAUGUUGUUAUGUGAAUGUCUAUAAUUUUUUAUAUAAACUUGAUCAAAGUUGGAUGAGAUUGAUUUCGGACAAACAUAAUAUGCAAAGUAAAAAGGACCGGAGGGAGUAUGUUGUAUGGUGAUAUGAUGACUUGAUGUUUUGCUCUUGCAACUUCAAUAAUCUUUUGGUUUGCUAAGUGCACUGUGCACACACCGUGCACCAGAGUUAUGACUUAUGAGCUGGUGUCAGGAGUGGGAGGAGGACCAGAACGUUCGUGUGUAGUCUCUAAUGCCUCUAUGCAAUUUAUUUCAGAGUUCAAUGUACCUUAUAUUUGCAUUUUAUUCAUUGUAUUGUAGUAUUAUUUGUUAAAAAAAAGAGCAAACGGCGGGAUCUUUGUCCUUUUAUUAGGCCGAAAAGAUUUGCAAAGGGAAAAUAUCAAGUACAUAUGAUGUCUUAUUAAUAAAGUGGCUGUAUGCAUCGCCCAGAUGCAGAGGCAGGGGGUCUUCCUCCUUUUCUAAAAAAACUGAUGUCUUAUUAAUUAUCUAAGAAUGUUUUUAUCCCUGUUACCUUUGAAAGUCAACCAUGUGUACCUAAUCCCGUUUCGGAGACAUAUUAAGCAAAUGUUGAUAGUGUAAUUUCACACUGAAAACAACACGCAUGGUUGUCAUCAAUCAUGCGAUAGGUAGAAUGUGAGUUAAAAAGGCUAACACAAUAGGAAGAACAGAGAUUUGCUGCCUUUUAUUAAGAAGAGUGGUUCGUCAUAAAAAUAAUUACGAGUUUGGAUGCUUCAACUCUGGUGAGGAUGACCCCACAUCCUUAGCUCAUAAACUAGUUCAACGGGAGGAGCCAAGUGGAGUUUUAAUUAGGGUAGAAACAUAUCCGGUAUAUCAAACUUGCUGACGUUCCCUCAAGAGGUAGCCUGAGAAACUAUCGUUCCGCGCGAAAGGUCAUCUGAGUGAACGCUACGAUCUGGGAGUGUUUCUUAAAAAAAAAGACACUCCGAGCGAACGCUAGGGAACUGCCAUGCUAAAAUAGGUUUAUUUGCCAUGCUAUCGUAUAAAAGAUUGACAUUUUGUAAAAAACGAUAAUGCUAGUAGAAAUAUAGUGAGGAAUUUGUUAGGCUGCAGCAGAGUAUUGGCAUGCGUUUUCAGAGAUUUAUCAUGAUGAUAGCAACGAAAAUUGUCAUCCUAAAAAAUAAAAAUAAAAUCCGAUUCUCCAAGAUUUGCCAUCCUGGUAGAAGAAAAUUGUCAUGUUACAUCAAUAGGACCCGGUGAAAAUUUGCAUGCUCUAAGAAAUAGAAAUUGCUACCCUAAUUUUUUUUUCCAUUCUGGAUGUGUUCGCUUAACCCAUUUAGUGUCGUUAGCUCAUAACUCCCUCAAGGGGUGCAUGGUAGCAAACAUUGAUUGUCAUGUGUCUUGCUUUAAGAUUUGUACAUAAAAGUUGAGCGUGUCACAGUGCGUUCACAAAAAAAAACACCUCAAAGUUGACAUACUUACCAUCUAAGGAUAUUUAAACGCUGUUUAGCAAUCACACACCACCAAAUAACUACCACUAGGCUACAACCCAGGUUAUAGAAGAAAAUUUACUCCUCACAAGACAAGAUUGAUCGGUUCUUCAUCACAAUACUAGCUAUACCACCAAAGAAGAAGAACAUGAUAUGAAAAAAAAUUAAACUCUAGCAUCUGCUUCGGCAUUUAAGAAGAAAUCGGAGCCAGGGGCGAGCCUCAGGCCUUGAACUCAGACAGGCGAGGCAUAGACACAAACUGCUACCCACUUAAGCUUUGCUAUGUUCUUAUGAUAAUGAAAAUAUAAAAGGGAACAAACCAAAACACAACUAACUCCCUAACAUCGGCCAUGAAGACAGAGUUAGGACGAUGGUCGAGUUGGAAGAUACAUAUUCCAGAGGCAGUUGUCUCCAUCGCCGAGACGGUAACGCCAAGUAAACACAAAACUAACAAUAAGAAUCUGGACUUUAUUAGAAAAAAAGAAAACCUAAACAUUCCAUGAUGGUAAUCCCUGUUUGUCGCUCUGUAUGACAAAAUGUCGAGCUGACCCAUAGCGACAUGGGCCGUAUCGACAUGGGCUGACUCUGGUUUCNNNNNNNNNNNNNNNNNNNNNNNNNNNNNNNNNNNNNNNNNNNNNNNNNNNNNNNNNNNNNNNNNNNNNNNNNNNNNNNNNNNNNNNNNNNNNNNNNNNNNNNNNNNNNNNNNNNNNNNNNNNNNNNNNNNNNNNNNNNNNNNNNNNNNNNNNNNNNNNNNNNNNNNNNNNNNNNNNNNNNNNNNNNNNNNNNNNNNNGAAGGGGUAGCUCAGGUAUCUUUUCUGUUCACCUAGGAUUAUUUUUUCACUGGUUUCUUUUGGUUUUUUUUAAUUUGACACAUUUUAAAAUACAGGAACAUUUUCGCAAUUCCAGUAUUUUUUCAAAUAUUGAGAAUACUUUUGAAAAAUCAAGAAAAAAUUUCAAAAUACAAAAGAUUUUUUAAUUCAAUUUUUUUGAGAACAUGAACGUUUUUCAAAUUCCAUAAAUUUUUUAUUUUCAAUGAACAUAUUUUUUAUUUUUUAGUAUAACGGUUUUAAGAAUUCCUAGUGCAGCCUUUGUUUUUGACAAACCUAGCUUUUAGCUUUUUAAAAGGUUUGAGAAAACCAACUAUAAAGCCUUAAUGAAAAUUGCUGCAAUCGCGGAGCGCAUAAGGGCAGGCCCAGUCGCUCACGCUUUGUGCGUUUGCCAAGCAUUUUGAGUUAUAUAUACGGCAUGCCAUUGUCUCAAAAAAAAAAUUACGGCAGAAGUCGCCAAGGCACUCUCUACACGGAACUACUCCCUCCGUUCCGAAUUACUUGUCUUGAAUUUGUCUAGAUACGAAUGUAUCUAGACUCAUUUUAGUGUUAGAUACCUCCGUAUCUAACAAAUCUAAAAUAAGUAAUUCGAAACGAAGGGAGUAAUUGCUAGCCUAGCUGCCAUCACCCGCUAGCAACUUUCAAUUUGCGAACGAAGGCAAAACAUUAGUAAAAUAGGGUUUUUUUGCGAGAAAUUCGUAAAAUGGUUUUAAACACUCGUAGUAUUAUACCCCUCUUGCUCGCUUGCCUGGUAGCCAUCGACGUACAUGUUCCGAGUAGCAACUUUGUUGCCGCUUCCUUUGGCGCGCCAGUGAUAUUUUCAGCAGCACUACAGCGAGAGACGACAUCGUGUUAAGAUAUAUUGUUCAUUUUUCUUCAUCAGUUCGGACUUUUGAAUGAAUUGAUUGAAGCAUAAAUUCAAUACAUCGGCCAGCUGACACGGCCGGCAUCGGCAAGUACGACACCGAUGGACGCAGGACUCGGCCGGGGAGGGGACCGUGUCCGUGCGUGUUCGGGCCGUCAAGCUGGGCGCCACGGGACCGUGUAGUGUGGCAUGAAACUGGACCCGACGCGUCACGUGACCUGCGUGCCCCCGCAGGAAAGAGCACAGAAACUGCGUCCAACUUGCAUGGACGAGCUGGUGGCCGGGUCUAUGGCGUGCAUGUGUGGCGGUAGGAACUGAUUUGAGGGCGUCAAUUAUUUUGCACGUGUUCUUGGUGCGAGUACGUCUCUCGCCUGUGGAUAGCUCUCGUCUUGCACAAAGACCGUGGCAGAUGCGCCAAACAUAUUUCGCAAAGAAAUGAAAAGCAAAACUACUCCCUCUGAUUUUUUUUGAACUAAACCACGAUACUUAUUUUGACUCGGAGAGAGUACUAAUUGAGGAAAAUUGUUAGUGGGAGAGAACUGUGGCAGUCUCCAAUCCUUCAGAGUCCCAGUACCCCUAGUGUUGGAUUUCGAGUUGUUGGAUGUCAUGCUUGGUGUGGGUGCUUCUCAGGGCGUGUGUAAUGUACGACAACAUCGACUCUUUCUCCAUGGCUCCUUUCUCAGGCCAUGCCAUGUCCUGCAACGCACUUGCCGACUCUUCUAGGCACCCAUGGUGGGUGUACAUCGAUUCGGUCAGUUCUUGAGUCGUAGCCACGUAUUGUGAGUGCCUCAUGUUGGUCGUGACACAGCCUUGGUGUCUUGUGUCUCGUCUUCUUGCUUUUCUUGGUUGGAGUUUGAGCUUGUUUCAUAGGUAAAAUUUUAAGAUUUGUUUCCGAUCGUAGGGACAAAAGCCAUGAUUUAUCGGUCACCUGUACUAAGUUUCAAGAGUUGAAAGUUAGCAUUAAUUUUUCAAAAUUCAUCAAAACAUUUCCAAAAUGGGUCAUAUAUAAAAGUACUCAUCGGGAGAAAUACGAAUAUGAAAACAAAACUUAAUUUAAACUUUUCGUUCAAAAGAUAUAGAAGUUUCAAAAUCAAAAGUUAAAAAUAAAACCACGUACGAGGGACUCGGUGCUCUGAUACCUGUGUGCCACAAAUAAAUCCGCCUCCCCUGACCCGGCUAUCUUUACGGACCAAAUGAAAGUGACUGCACUAAAAGAAAAAAAAAUGCUAAUCUGGAAAAACGUGGAGACACACUCCGCGUGGAAUUACUAGUCGCGCUGCUAUCACUCGGUAACUUUGAAUUUGCCAAAAAGAAAAGUAGAUGCAUGUGAUCCCCUUGCUAGCUUGCCUUGUCGCCAUCGACCUACUACAUACAAGUUCCGAACAAAACUUGCCGCCGUGUACUAGAGUAAGAAUUAACAUCGGCCCGCUGACACGACGGCAUCGGUAAGUACGAUCGCUGGACGCAGGACAUGCUAUAGCCGGGUUGCUCCCUCGGCAUGCAUGCUGUGCUGACUGGACGCAGGGCGUGUUGAACUAGUGUAGCUUUGUUCGAGCCGUCAAGCUGGUCGCGGCCUACGUAAGUAUCCCUGCAGGAAGUAGAUGCAUGGACGAGCUAGUGACCGGGUCAGGGACGUGCAAGUGGUGGUAGGAAUUCAAAUGAUGACGUUGUUUAUACGUAUAUUUUUGCACGUGUUUUUGGUGCGGUUCGUCUCCCCUCAUCAUCCACGGUAUCUGGUCUUGCAGGCUGCAUCAUGGGGAUGUAUCUGGUGCACCAAGCUAAUUGACAGCAUGCAGCUAGUUCUACAGUGCUACUAACAAAUGUAACCGUAUCCAAUCUUUCACUAGCCAAUAGUAAGCUUUUCUUUGUAUCGUGUCAGAUAUAAACCGAUCUUGUGUAGCUGGAGCAUGUGGACGUGUUCACGAGCAGAUUAUAACACUGAUUAUUGACCUGCCAUAAAGAAAUUCAGUAGGUACUUUCUCUGUAAACUAAUAUAAGGUCUUUUAAGUAGUAAUUUAAAAGAUCUUAUAUUAGUCCAAGGAGGAAAUACUUUCUCCGUCCGGAAAUACUUGUCAUCAAAAUUGAUAAAAAAAGAUAUAUCUAGAACUAAAAUACAUCUAUAUACAUUCCCUUUUAUCCAUUUUGAUACAAAUAUUUUCGAACGGAUGAAGUACUAAUUAAGCGUGUACGUACUCACAUUGACUUGAAAGUUGGCGCAAAAACCAUUACUUAUCCAGAGAGCUUUUAGAUUAAUGGUCGGCUGAUGCUGAGCUAACUACCCCGCAAAUAAAAGAUUGGGAGUAUAGCUGAGACGUGAGAGCGAGAACACAAUCAUAUACGAGCAUUAUUAACAAGCCAAGCCGUUGAUCGAGGAAGAAAACACACGCGCACGUAGGCGAAGCUCCCGGCGGCCCAUAGUCCUACACCAACGGCCGCCGGUCCAGCUCCAGCACAUGCGACCACCCAUGCAUACAUGCCCGAAUUACACUCCCGUCCCCAUAGUAGUAAUACCGCCCUACAUUUUCCUUUGGCAAAUAUACCACCCCAUUCGUAUUUGGUAGUAAUUACUGAUCGUGUUUUCCAUCUCUAGAACACAUUGAAUGUUCAGUGAAAAAAAAAACAGAUGGGCUGUUUAUACAGGUACGUGCAUCCAAGAUGAAGAAUCGUUCAGAUCAAAAUGGUUACUGAGUCGACGAGGAGUACCUUUUACCACACGCAGAAGAAUUGAUCAGACGGAACUACUGAGCAGCCGACACCCACUGGCCGAACAUUGGACGAUGCUUUGAUCCAGCGGUCGGCCUCCUCUUUGUGACAUGCAUGUACGGUCAGAUCAGUAGCAUCGUCCAGACAUCGGCUGCACACCGUCGUGUGUAUAGCAGAUCAAUCAUGAGUCUACGCUAUACGGUAUGUGAGGUUUCAGGCAGCUGGCUGUCACCUUCAACGACGCGUACACUGCGUAAAUACGGCUACUUCGCGCCAAUUGAACGCCGCUUUGACUUGAAAACGCGGCUGGGUUAUUUUACACGCUGAACCGUUCGGGACAGCACACGCAUUCCUACCCAUCUCCGCCCGGCCACGACCUAUAUAUAAGCACCCCUCCGGCGAGCCCAUUCCCGGCACACAACAACAGCCAACAGGCAACAGCAAAGCGACCUCACCAGCGCACAAAGAUCACCUCAUCACAGCUUUCCAGUUCACCGGCCAUCGUCGCGAUGAAGCCCGGCACCGAGCCGGCCACCGGCGUCCCCGUCGGCGGCGCACCGGGCGCCCCCACCGCCUGGUCCUCCGGCCUCUUCGACUGCUUCGACGACUGCGGCCUCUGUACGUAGCCUUGCUCUCAGGCGGCUCAUGCCAUCUUCCUCCUACUCAUCUCAACGUCUCAAUCGCCAUGAAAUGCAUGUCUAAUACAUACUUAUGAUGUGUGCAGGUUGCCUGACUUGCUGGUGCCCGUGCAUCACGUUCGGGAAGGUGGCGGAGAUCGUGGACCGGGGCGCGACGUCGUGUGGGACGAGCGGCGCGCUCUACGUGCUGCUGGCGUCGCUCACGGGGUGCCACUGGAUCUACUCCUGCACCUACCGCUCCAAGAUGCGCGCCCAGUACGCGCUCCCGGACGCGCCCUGCUGCGACUGCUGCGUGCACUACUGCUGCGAGCCCUGCGCGCUCGUCCAGG
rnacentral:lncRNA from 1 species